UGGGGAAUAUUGCACAAUGGGCGCAAGCCUGAUGCAGCCAUGCCGCGUGUAUGAAGAAGGCCUUCGGGUUGUAAAGUACUUUCAGCGAGGAGGAAGGCGUUGUGGUUAAUAACCGCAACGAUUGACGUUACUCGCAGAAGAAGCACCGGCUAACUCCGUGCCAGCAGCCGCGGUAAUACGGAGGGUGCAAGCGUUAAUCGGAAUUAGUGGGCGUAAAGCGCACGCAGGCGGUCUGUCAAGUCGGAUGUGAAAUCCCCGGGCUCAACCUGGGAACUGCAUCCGAAACUGGCAGGCUAGAGUCUUGUAGAGGGGGGUAGAAUUCCAGGUGUAGCGGUGAAAUGCGUAGAGAUCUGGAGGAAUACCGGUGGCGAAGGCGGCCCCCUGGACAAAGACUGACGCUCAGGUGCGAAAGCGUGGGGAGCAAACA
rnacentral:rRNA from 1 species